GACGAACGCUGGCGGCGUGCCUAAUACAUGCAAGUCGAGCGCAGGAAACUGACGGAACUCUUCGGAGGGAAGGCAGUGGAAUGAGCGGCGGACGGGUGAGUAACACGUAAGGAACCUACCUCAAGGAUUGGAUAACUCCGAGAAAUCGGAGCUAAUACCGGAUAGCUCAACGGACCGCAUGGUCCGCUGAUGAAAGGCGCUUCGGCGGCACCUUGAGAUUGCCUUGCGGUGCAUUAGCUAGUUGGUGGGGUAACGGCCCACCAAGGCGACGAUGCAUAGCCGACCUGAGAGGGUGAUCGGCCACACUGGGACUGAGACACGGCCCAGACUCCUACGGGAGGCAGCAGUAGGGAAUCUUCCACAAUGGACGAAAGUCUGAUGGAGCAACGCCGCGUGAGUGAUGAAGGUUUUCGGAUCGUAAAACUCUGUUGUAAGGGAAGAACACGUACGAGAGGGAAUGCUCGUACCUUGACGGUACCUUACGAGAAAGCCACGGCUAACUACGUGCCAGCAGCCGCCGCCG
rnacentral:rRNA from 1 species